rnacentral:rRNA from 1 species
ACGGGAGGCAGCAGUGGGGAAUAUUGGACAAUGGGCGAAAGCCUGAUCCAGCGACGCCGCGUGAGUGAAGAAGUAUUUCGGUAUGUAAAGCUCUAUCAGCAGGGAAGAUAAUGACGGUACCUGACUAAGAAGCCCCGGCUAACUACGUGCCAGCAGCCGCGGUAAUACGUAUGGUGCAAGCGUUAUCCGGAUUUACUGGGUGUAAAGGGUGCGUAGGUGGUAUGGCAAGUCAGAAGUGAAAUGCGGGGGCUCAACCCCUGAACUGCUUUUGAAACUGUCAAACUAGAGUGCAGGAGAGGCAAGCGGAAUUCCUAGUGUAGCGGUGAAAUGCGUAGAUAUUAGGAGGAACACCAGUGGCGAAGGCGGCUUGCUGGACUGUAACUGACACUGAGGCACGAAAGCGUGGGGAGCAAACAGGAUUAGAUACCCUGGUA